UUUUACAUUAUGUUAUUCUAAUAUGGACGGUAGAAUCUAGAUUGUUAAAUACUUUUUAGUACUGUGAUCGUUUUAAGGUUUUACUGCUGAAUAAUUGAAGUUUUCUCUGUAGUGAUUGGACCUUGCAAUACAUCCAUUUUGUGUUAGCCUGAGUUGUUUAAAUCGAAACCCCUUCCAGGAAUCGUUCAGAUCCUAAACGUAGAUAAAGUUACUGAGCAUCUGGACAAUAUUUGAAAGAUCUUUAAGGAAAAUGGAGGACAGAAGAUAGUUAACAAAAUGUAAUUAAGGGAGGAUUCAGAUCUUAUUCUGACUUGUUUAAUCUGCCAUAGUGGAGGUUCUAUAUGUAGAUCAUAAUGGAUCAAAUAGCUUAAGGAAAAUGAUAUAGUCUUCAAGUAUAAGUCACAAUAAGCAAAAAAUUAUAAGAGGCAUUGUAUUUUAUGAGGAAAACAUUUUUAAUGCUUGAAUCUAAUGAGAGUGACGGGUUUGCUCAUCUUAAAAGCGUCAGACAAGAAUAUUUUGUCAUUCGCAUGACUCAAUGAUAAUAGGCUUGUAUAAGGUUUGGCCUUAAAUCCUUACCUUUGUCCCACUAGUUAUGGACGAGCUUGCAAGACUUAUUGAAGAUGAGGAUUCUAAGUGCAUUUUGUUUGAUAGUGAUAUAGUUUUGACUGAGGAGACAUUAUAUGGUAAGUCAGAAGUACUUUGGAAUCUAAAAGUCAUAUGCUCAUUUAUUAGUUGGAGAAGUAAGGAUUAUAGUGGAGUUAGGGACGAUAGAUUAUCAAGUUGUCUCAAAAAGUGAUUAUUUUUAGGUAUUUAGAUUUUAUUAUUGAAAAGGAAAGAAGGAUUGGAGAGAAGUUGUAAUGAUAAGAUUAGAGUGGGCUGCAUGAAAUGUUCGAAAGCUGCAAGAGUUAGAAAGAUUCCAUUAAGGUUAAAAGGCAAAAUCUACAUACCAGUUAUUAGACCAGCUAUGCUCAUAGCUCUUAUGUUCAUGAGAGGAUUGCAGUAGAAAUGAGGACGAAAGAUGGACGUGCAGCCAUUUAAGAUGGACAAAAAAUGAGCAUAUGCGUAAAUAAAGUGAAGGUGGGGCUGAUCGAGGAUAAUUUAAGGGAUUUUUAGCAGAAAUGAGGAUGCAAGUUGACAUACAGCCAUACUAAGAUGAAUAAUAAGAUAAAAAAUGAGAAUAUGUUUCUACAAGUUAAGGUAGAUGAUCGAGUAUAAAUUAAGUCAAACGAAGGUUUAGGUGGUUGGGUCAUGUUUUAGGGCAACCUAAAGAGGCCUCUAGUCAUAAGACUCAUGCGAUUUGGUUGAAUAGUUAGAAGAGGGAGGAGUAACUUGGUUUGUGCUAGUUGCUAAGGAUCUUGUUGAUUUAGAUCUCCCAUUAGAUCUAGCAAAGAACAUAACAGAAUGACAAAGAAGGAUUCACGUUUGUUGCUUAACCCUGGGAUGUAGAAAAUUUCUAGGUAGAUAAUGGAAGCAAUAUACCAAACUUGUUUUUUGUUAUCCAUUUUUACAAUUUGUUGAAAUCACAAUGAAGUAGUUACUGAUGAAGCCCCUGUUUGGCCCCCUUUAAAACUCAUCAAUUUAAUUUAAAUUUUUCUCUCUUCUAUUUUCAACCACAAAAUCUUUAAUAAAAUAAUAUUACACGUAAAUUGAAAAUUUUUCAUUCUUUUACAACCAUCUAUUUAAAUAAAUAAAUAAAAAAAAAAAAAAAAAAAAACUAUUCCCCCCAUUAUAAAUCCAAAUAAUGGGGGCCAAACGGGGGCGAAAUUAUAUCAGAAGGGUAUCAAGUAAUGCCCAAAAGAUAUUCACAAUUGUAAUGUAUUUCAAUUUGCUUGUUUAAAAUAAGGGAUUAGACGAGUUAAAUAAUCUUAAUGCUUUUAUACAUUUUUGUGAGCAUCUUUUGUGCUCUGGUGUUGUGGACUUGGAUGGUUAAGGUCCCUACUCAAUGUCUAUAAUUUUUUAUUGUAUAUGAGCAUAUUUAAUUGUUGAAUCCUCUAAUCCAUCUCUAACAUUCUUUGCUUUCAAAAUAACGAAAAUUGGCUUCUGUCCC
rnacentral:lncRNA from 1 species